GACGAACGCUGGCGGCGUGCUUAACACAUGCAAGUCGAACGGAAAGGCCCUGCUUUUGUUGGGUGCUCGAGUGGCGAACGGGUGAGUAACACGUGUGUAACCUGCCCUUGACUUUGGGAUAACUUCAGGAAACUGGGGCUAAUACCGGAUAGGAGCUCCUGCUGCAUGGUGGGGGUUGGAAAGUUUCGGCGGUUGGGGAUGGACUCGCGGCUUAUCAGCUUGUUGGUGGGGUAGUGGCUUACCAAGGCUUUGAAGGGUAGCCGGCCUGAGAGGGUGACCGGCCACAAUGGGACUGAGAGACGGCGCAGACGCCUACGGGAGGCAGUAGGGGGGAAUAUGGCACAAUGGGCGGAAGCCUGAUGCAGAAACGCCGCGUGCGGGAUGACGGCCUUCGGGUUGUAAACCGCUGUCGCCUGUGACGAAGCGUGAGUGACGGUAAUGGGUAAAGAAGCACCGGCUAACUACGUG
rnacentral:rRNA from 1 species